UACGAAGGGGCUAGCGUUGUUCGGUAAUUACUGGGCGUAAAGCGCACGUAGGCGGAUAUUUAAGUCAGGGGUGAAAUCCCAGAGCUCAACUCUGGAACUGCCUUUGAUACUGGGUAUCUUGAGUAUGGAAGAGGUAAGUGGAAUUGCGAGUGUAGAGGUGAAAUUCGUAGAUAUUCGCAGGAACACCAGUGGCGAAGGCGGCUUACUGGUCCAUACUGACGCUGAGGUGCGAAAGCGUGGGGAGCAAACAGGG
rnacentral:rRNA from 1 species